UAAGAAAACGCAGCUCCAAACGUAUUUGAGCUGCGUUUAAUAAAACGCAGCUCCACAUCUAGUAUAUAAUUGAAACAAAUUAACCCUAAUUAUUCAACACUUGAAAUUUCCCGAUCCCCAAUCUCAGCUCUCACUAUCUCAGCUCAACCUCCCGAUCCAAUCUCACCGCCGUGCUCUCAACCCACUACCCACAAACCUCACGCCUUCUCCCUCAUGAAAACCCGAAAAUUUUGCUGACCGAAGAGACCCAAGCUCUUCACUGGUGAGGCUCGCUCUAUCACCGGCAGGCUGUCACUCCAGUUGAUCAAGUUUCUAGAUCUUCUCACAGAGCACUGAGAUUGUUGAGUCUUAUUCUCUCCCUUCUACGCCUUGUGAUUUCUGAAGGAGUUCUGUUUCACGUUUUUCCUUCACCAAGAACCAACUAAGCCCUAAAUUACGAAUUAGUACCAUCCAUCCAACAAUGGCUUCCGAACUUUCUUGUGGACAUAAGGGAGUCCUUUGGGCUGACUGAGAGACUUGGUGUACUAUUCUCUUUUCCUUGUCUAUAUGUUCUGUUGAUUAGCAAGCAUAUGUAGAGCCUAUUAACAUGCAGACAAAGCAUAGAUAUGUUUGAAUUUGGACCAAAAACAGGAAGAAAAUUAAGUAAAAGUAUGCACAAAGCUUGUCAGUUUUAAGACAUGCAAAAAUCAGCAAGGAGGGCAUGAUAACAAAAUCUUCUAUAAUGUUGGGCCUAGGAGAAUCUGAUGAUGAGUUGAAAGAAGCUAUGGCUGAUUUAAGGGCUAUUGAUGUUGAUAUUUUGACUCUUGGACAGUAUUUACAGCCAACUCCACUACACCUGACUGUCAAAGAAUAUGUCACCCCUGAAAAGUUUGCUUUCUGGAAGGAAUACGGGGAGUCCAUUGGAUUUCGUUAUGUAGCCAGUGGGACCACUGGUCCGAUCCUCAUAUUGCGGACUUUCCAGUGGAUGGCUCAUGGCUGACAAGUUGACCACAAAUUGGUAAAUGAGAGCAGUAUGUAUUGGGGCAAAUGGCUGUAAUGGUUGUCCUAAUUUAUUAUAGAGUAUAAAUUUUCUGGUUCUAGUAAAAAAAUAUCUUCAUUUCUUUGAGGAUUUUAUGUUUUAUUUUAUUUUCAUUGUUUUGUUUUGCUGGUAAUUGGUUGGGAAUUGUUGAGUGUAGGCAAUUUGUUUUGUUGGUUCCAAUUGGUUGCAUCUAAGUGUUGGCAGGAAUUAUAGGUCUUGUUUUAAGUAGGAUUGUGUUUAGGAAGAAGAAAAUGGGAAAAAGUAAGGAAAACCCAAUGUGGGAUUUAGAGCUGCGUUUUCAAAAACACAGCCCAGACUGGUCUAUAGCUGCGUUUUAGACACCCUAUAGCCGCGUUUUUACACACCCACAGAUGCGAUACCUAUAGCCGCUUUUUUUUAGAAAACGCGGCUAUAGACCUUGUUUGGGCUGCGUUUCAAACGCAGUUCUAAGUUGCACCAAUAGCCGCGUUUUCAUAGAAAACGCAGCUAUAGGUCCCGCAUCUGGGUUGUGUAAAAACGCAGCUCUAGGGUGUCUAAAACGCAGCUACAGA